UGAGCUUGAUCCUGGCUCAGGAUGAACGCUAGCGGCAGGCUUAACACAUGCAAGUCGAGGGGUAUAUUUCUUCGGAGCUAGAGACCGGCGCACGGGUGCGUAACGCGUAUGCAAUCUACCUUUUACAGAGGGAUAGCCCAGAGAAAUUUGGAUUAAUACCUCAUAGUAUAUAGACUCGGCAUCGGGAUUAUAUUAAAGUCACAACGGUAAAAGAUGAGCAUGCGUCCCAUUAGCUAGUUGGUAAGGUAACGGCUUACCAAGGCUACGAUGGGUAGGGGUCCUGAGAGGGAGAUCCCCCACACUGGUACUGAGACACGGACCAGACUCCUACGGGAGGCAGCAGUGAGGAAUAUUGGACAAUGGGCGCAAGCCUGAUCCAGCCAUGCCGCGUGCAGGAUGAUCGGUCCUAGUGGAUUGUAAACUGCUUUUAUAGCGAGAAGAAACAUCUGCUAACGUGUAGCAGCUGACGGUAUCGUAGA
rnacentral:rRNA from 1 species